UACGUAGGGGGCGAACGUUGCUCGGAAUUACUGGGCGUAAAGGGUGCGUAGGUGGCUGAGCAAGUCAAAGAUGAAAUCCCGGGGCUCAACCCCGGAACUGUCUUUGAAACUGCUCAGCUUGAGGAUAGUUGAGGAGAACGGAAUUCCCGGUGGAGCGGUGAAAUGCGUAGAUAUCGGGAGGAACACCAGAGGCGAAGGCGGUUCUCUGGACUAUUCCUGACACUGAGGCACGAAAGCUAGGGGAGCAAACGGGAUUAGAUACCCGCGUA
rnacentral:rRNA from 1 species